rnacentral:snoRNA from 1 species
CUACAGUGAUGGGAAUAGGUUCACUAAUGAGUGUUGAUACUUUGGGUCUGAGUUA